rnacentral:tRNA from 2 species
GGGGCAGUAGCUCAGCGGUUAGAGCUGCGGACUCAUAACCCGUAGGUCACAGGUUCAAAUCCUGUCUGCCCCAC